rnacentral:rRNA from 1 species
UNUUCGGAAUCACUGGGCGUAAAGGGAGCGUAGGCGGCGUGGUAAGUCAGAUGUGAAANCCCGGGGCUCAACCCCGGAANUGCAUCCGAUACUNCCAUGCUAGAGGAUUGGAGAGGUAGCUGGAAUUCUUGGUGUAGCAGUGAAAUGCGUAGAGAUCAAGAGGAACACUCGUGGCGAAAGCGAGCUACUGGACAAUUCCUGACGCUGAGGCUCGAAGGCUAGGGUAGCGAAAGGGAUUAGAUACCCCUGUAGUCCUAGCAGUAAACGGUGCACGCUUGGUGUGAGGGGAAUCGACCCCCCUUGUGCCGGAGCUAACGCGUUAAGCGUGCCGCCUGGGAAGUACGGUCGCAAGACUAAAACUCAAAGAAAUUGACGGGGACCCGCACAAGCGGUGGAGUAUGUGGCUUAAUUCGAUGCAACGCGAAGAACCUUACCAAGGCUUGACAUGCAUCUCUAAACACGUGAAAGCGUGUGACCCUUCGGGGAAUUUGCACAGGUGCUGCAUGGCCGUCGUCAGCUCGUGUCGUGAGAUGUUGGGUUAAGUCCCGCAACGAGCGCAACCCUUGUGAAUAGUUGCCAGCACGUCAUGGUGGGAACUCUAUUCAGACUGCCCAGAUCAACUGGGAGGAAGGUGGGGACGACGUCAGGUCAGUAUGGCCCUUACGCCUUGGGCUGCACACGUACUACAAUGCCCAGCACAAUGAGAACCGAUACCGCGAGGUGGAGGAAAUCUGUAAAACUGGGCUCAGUUCGGAUUGGAGGCUGCAACUCGCCUCCAUGAAGUUGGAAUCGCUAGUAAUGGGGCAUCAUCUACGGCCCCGUGAAUACGUUCCCGGGUCUUGUACACACCGCCCGUCACAUCAUGGAAGCCGGUCGCACCCGAAGUGCCCGUACCAACCGCAAGGGGGUAGGGUCCUAAGGUGUAGCUGGUAACUGGGAUGAAGUCGUAACAAGGUAACCAA